rnacentral:rRNA from 1 species
UACGAAGGGGGCUAGCGUUGCUCGGAAUCACUGGGCGUAAAGGGCGCGUAGGCGGAUCUUUAAGUCAGGGGUGAAAUCCCAGAGCUCAACUCUGGAACUGCCUUUGAUACUGGGUAUCUUGAGUAUGGAAGAGGUAAGUGGAAUUGCGAGUGUAGAGGUGAAAUUCGUAGAUAUUCGCAGGAACACCAGUGGCGAAGGCGGCUUACUGGUCCACAACUGACGCUGAGGUGCGAAAGCGUGGGGAGCAAACAGG